UGCGCAGGCGGACUAUUAAGUCAGUGGUGAAAUCUCCCGGCCCAACCGGGAAACUGCCAUUGAUACUGAUAGUCUUGAGUAUAGUUGUAGUGGGCGGAAUAUAGCAUGUAGCGGUGAAAUGCUUAGAUAUGCUAUAGAACACCGAUCGCGAAGGCAGCUCACUAAACUAUAACUGACGCUCAGGCACGAAGGCGUGGGGAGCAAACAGGAUUAGAUACCCUGGUAGUCC
rnacentral:rRNA from 1 species